rnacentral:rRNA from 1 species
UACGUAGGGUGCAAGCGUUGUCCGGAAUUAUUGGGCGUAAAGAGCUCGUAGGCGGUUUGUCGCGUCUGCUGUGAAAACCCGAGGCUCAACCUCGGGCCCGCAGUGGGUACGGGCAGACUAGAGUGCGGUAGGGGAGAUUGGAAUUCCUGGUGUAGCGGUGGAAUGCGCAGAUAUCAGGAGGAACACCGAUGGCGAGGCAGAUCUCUGGGCCGUAACUGACGCUGAGGAGCGAAAGCAUGGGGAGCGAACAGG